GCCCUAAGCCACAGCAGACUGUGACCCCAAAUUAUUGCCUGGCCUCUGUGCCCCUAGGCUGUGGGUGCUGAAGUGGGUUGCACAGUA
rnacentral:snoRNA from 1 species